rnacentral:rRNA from 1 species
GACGAACGCUGGCGGCGUGCCUAAUACAUGCAAGUAGAACGCUGAAGGAGGAGCUUGCUUCUCUGGAUGAGUUGCGAACGGGUGAGUAACGCGUAUGUAACCUGCCUGGUAGCGGGGGAUAACUAUUGGAAACGAUAGCUAAUACCGCAUAAGAGUAGAUGUUGCAUGACAUUUGCUUAAAAGGUGCAAUUGCAUCACUACCAGAUGGACCUGCGUUGUAUUAGCUAGUUGGUGGGGUAACGGCUUACCAAGGCGACGAUACAUAGCCGACCUGAGAGGGGGGACGGCCAAACUGGGACUGAGACAACGCCCAGAACCCUAAGGGAGGCAGCAGUAGGGAAUCUUCGGGAAUGGACGGAAGUCUGACCGAGCAACGCCGCGUGAGUGAAGAAGGUUUUCGGAUCGUAAAGCUCUGUUGUAAGAGAAGAACGAGUGUGAGAGUGGAAAGUUCACACUGUGACGGUAUCUUACCAGAAAGGGACGGCUAACUACGUG